GACGUAGGGCGCAAGCGUUGUCCGGAUUUAUUGGGCGUAAAGAGCUCGUAGGCGGCCUGUCGCGUCGACCGUGAAAACCCGCAGCUCAACUGCGGGCUUGCGGUCGAUACGGGCAGGCUCGAGUUCGGUAGGGGAGACUGGAAUUCCUGGUGUAGCGGUGAAAUGCGCAGAUAUCAGGAGGAACACCGGUGGCGAAGGCGGGUCUCUGGGCCGAUACUGACGCUGAGGAGCGAAAAGCGUGGGGGAGCGAACAGG
rnacentral:rRNA from 1 species